rnacentral:lncRNA from 10 species
AGGAAAUGAAUCCUCUUGUCACAUUUGAAGUUAUCAGUCAUCAAUAAAAUGGGGAUUUGUUUCAUCGUUUGCAGGGUGAUGACAUCAAACUCAAUUCGGAGAGAGGAAAGGGUAGUUAUGAAGCAUGCUCCACUGGUGCUGCUGGAUAGUGAGGGUGGGCAGACUUGACGACCACCAGUCCAGGACCUAGACAGCCUGAAGACACGGGGGCCUGAAAAGGUAGUUGGGGAUGCCCAAAGAAUGCUAGUCCUGGUGCCAAUGCAGCAGACAGUCACCUUGUCUGUUGUCGAGUAAACAAGUGCCUCCUCUUGGGCCUGUGAUGCCUGCCAGCACAUGUCUUUCUCAGAGGUGGGCAUAUUCUCUAUUUGGGAAACAAUGGGUAGAGGGAUUGAAGCAGGAGAAGUUUCAGAGAAUCACUCUUGCAAGAGAUGCUGCACUCUGGCAGACUCGAUAAUGACAAAUAUGUCAAGCAACUGAGUUUCAGCAGGGUUCCUUCGGGCCUUGUUCACCAACUUGUGGUUUCCGUGGUGACAGGACAGCUGCCAGGUAGAUGGCGGCUUUGGGGCCACCUGACUGGCUCUGACGAUAACUGGCUUUGACAGCUUUGAUUGGAAUGAAAAGAUUUAGGGUCCCUACUGGCUUUCUUAAAUUAAACCCUCCCUCCUGGAGUUAGCUUGUUUAUCAACAUUAUCUUAGAUUAGGGGACUUUCUUGUGAUCAGAGAGUUCUUUUACCACGAUGGUUCACAUGUUGGGGCCACUGGCAGGGUUUCUGAGAUCAGGGUCCUCGGAGCAGCACAGAGAGGUAAGGCUACACCCUGAUGUGCUUCUCAGGCAAUGCCUCCAAGGGGCAUGUUAACAGUCAGAUCUAGUUAGGAAAGAAAACAGGAAAAGGACCUGCAUUUUAACAGAAAUAAUUUAAUCUAGGCAAUUGAGUAAGCAGGUAUUAGAGGCUGAAAGGCAAAAAGGAAGUAUCAAGAUAAACACAGGGAUGGUAACUGCCAGAGGCAGCUCUACCUCUGGGGCUGAAGAACACAGGGAAGAUACUGGGGUUGCAAUAAUUUCAAAGCUUGGAAGAGGAGCCCUGCGGAGCUGGGACCUAGGCUUCUAAGGAGCGGCGACUGCACAGUAUCUGUGAGGCUGGAUUUGAGAGUCCAGAAAAUGUUGAAGACUGGAACCCAUUGCUAUUGAGGUAAACUGCCACUGCAAGGUGAAAAGUCAUUGUUGGGGUGAUGCUCACAGGGACAAGAAGCAGUCCCAGGAAGAGGCAAGUCCCUGCUCUGCCAAUUUGCCAUCCCUCCUUACUGACAGAGCCCCACAUGGAGCCAGCUGGCCACAGAGCAGUGUGGUUCGCCAAGUUCCAGCCCCAGAAUCACAGGGUAGAGUACAGACAGGUGGGUCUGACCUUAGAGACAUCAGCUUCAUAAUCAGCACAGGGAGUGUGAACAAGACGACAAUGGUAGGCCCUGAGAUAGAACAGCCAGGCCCAAAACACCCACACCUACCCUUCACUGGUAGAAAUCACCUCAUGCAGCUGUGUGUGGUAGCUCACGCCUGUAAUCCCAGCACUUUGGGAGACUGAGGCAGGUGGAUCACCUGAGGUCAGGAGUUCAAGACCAGCCUGACCAACAUGGAGAAACCCCAUCUCCACUUAAAAAAAAAAAAAAAUACAGGGCCGGGCACGGUGGCUCACACCUGUAAUCCCAGCACUUUGGGAGGCUGAGGCAGGUGGAUCACGAGGUCAGGAGAUCGAGACCAUCCUGGCCAACACGGUGAAAUCCCAUCUCUACUAAAAAUACAAAAAAUUAGCUGGGCGUGGUGGCAGGCAGCUGUAGUCCCAGCUACUCGGGAGGCUGAGGCAGGAGAAUCGCUUGAACCUGGGAGGCAGAGGCUGCAGCGAGCCGAGAUCGCGCCACUGCACUCCAGCCUGGGCAACAGAGCUAGACUCCAUCUCAAAAAAAAAAAAAAUACAAAAUUAGCUAGGCGUGCUGGCACAUGCCUGUAAUCCCAGCAACUGGGGACACUGAGGCAGGAGACUCGCUUGAACCCGGGAGGCGGAGGUUGCGGCGUGCUGAGAUUGCACCACUGCACUCUAGCCUGGGCAACAAGAGCAAAACUCUGUCUAAAAAAAAAAAAGAAAGAAAGAAAAGAAAAGAAAAAAAGAAAAGAAAUCACCUAAUGCGUGCUCAGUUCUUUACACUUUACAAACAGCUUCUUAUGUUAUCUUAUUUAAAGGCAGAAAACUGCCUAUGUGUACUGGCACUGACCACCACAUGAGGAGAACAGGACACUGUCCCAAGCACCCAGCAUUGGUGUCCUUUGCUUUCACUUUGUCCCUGAGCUCCUGAGGAACAGCCCUGAUGCAGCCUGACCUGGGCAUUUCCCGAGAUGUGGAAGUUUUCAACUUGUUUCUUGGGCAAAGUAGGCAGGUCACCAAGCAGGACAGUAACCCUGCCCCCAACUCUGUUUUGGCCAGAAUAUCUCCACUAACAUUUGUUUCUCAUACUGGGUCUCCAGGUAAGCUUAUGUAUGAAGAGGAGGCUCUUCAGUGAACAAUAGCUUGGAAACCUUUGCCCUAGAGGGAGAAACCUUCAAGCUGCCAGCCACCAAAUAAGCCCACAAGGCUCACUUCCAUUGUCUUCUCCUCUGCAAUGCCCUUUGUCCCUACCAGCCUGAGGCAAACAUCAGUCCCUAUUGUCCCCUUCGGAGGUUAACCCUACCUCCAAAACCUCUUAAGAGUAUCCUUUCAAAGCAUGUUGGCAGAGUGGCCUGCUGAGUGUCCGAUUUCUCAGUGUGUGGGUUGGGCCUGUUGUUUUGUAUGCAUAGCUUGGGGUGUUGAUUUUUGUUCAUUUGUUGGUUGGUGUGUUUUUCUGCCAAAAAAAAACUGUUAAUCCACCCUACAAGAAAGGAAGGUUAGGGAAAGGGGGGACACAGUUGGAAAAAGGAAUCACAUUUUUCCCUUUCCUAAAUAGACCCCAGACCCACAUCUGCCUCUAAUAUUGGCAAAAGUAUAAAUGAAGGCAGUUGGUCAGCACCCCACCUUCUCUUCCCCUCUCAGGUCCACCAGCAGGCACUGAACAAACACUUCAGCCCGCAUGCCCAAACUCUGUGUAAAGGCCGCUAAUAAGAGCCACCCCUUAGCUAUCCCUGAGGCCUCAGUGACCUCACCACAGACGGGACAGAUGGGAAGAGGUUCACACAGCCCUGGAAGAGGCUGGGACAUUUGAGCAGGGAAUUCUGGGCCCUGGGUUACGAACCAUGCACCAAAAGGAGGACUGGCCCUGGGUGGCACACAGACAAGGCCCAUGAACUUCUUGUCCUAUGGGGCGGGGCCAGCCCCACCAAGACCAGGGCAGGGCACCUAAAACCACAGCCCAGGGUUGCACCCUGAGAGAAUAAAAGAGACUACCGGGGCAGAGCGGAUCCUAGAAGGGAGAGGCACUAUGGGGCCAGCCUCUUUCUGAAGCCCCACCCAGAGAAGCACCCUUUGCUGGAAAAGAAAACAGCAGAAGCCAAGGUAAGGGGCCAUCACCCAGCAAAAGCAUCCCGUGUCAGAGAGGGAAAGAGCAGCCACAGCCAUGAAGCUGGCCAGUGCAUGGCUUCCUUAGACAGAAGUCUCAGGGAGCCCCAUUCAGGCCUGCAUAAGCCCCCGGGAUUCCAGCAAGACAUGAUGGAGGAGGUGGGCUCCCAGCAGUGGACCCUGGACUCCUGCUAGUCAUAGCUGAGGACAGCGGGUAAAUAACAUCUUUGUGUGGCGUGUUGCAGCUGUCACAGCCGCCAGCAGACAGCCGACUCCCUCACCAGUAAACACCGCGGCUUAGGUGUUGCCCACCGGGCACCGGAAGGCGGCCCCCUUCUCGCUCUCCAGUGAAUGUUCCUAAAACAACUGCGGGGUCCAAGAGCACAGGGAGAACAGCGCCCCUGACGCAGGCUGCGCACCCGCCCGGAGGAGGCAGUGCGUCAGUCCUGAGGUCACCGCCACCCGCUCCCGGGGGACGGCCGCCUGGGCAGGUGAGGAGGCGACCACCUCCCAGACGCCUGCCGGAGCUGCGGCGCACCGACUCCCUGCUUCUCCGAGCGGCGAGCGCCACCUGGAGGCUCCCUCGAGAUCUGCAUUUAGGAGGCGACGGGUCCUUUCAUCGUUUUAUUCAUUAAACAUUUAUCGAGGCCUGGAGCGAUGGUUCAAGCCUGUAAUCCCAGCACUUUGGGAGACCGAGACGGGCGGAUCACUUGAGGUCAGGAGUUGGAGACCAGCCUGGCCAACAUGGCGAAACCCCAUCUCUACUAAAAAUACAAAAAUUAGCCGGGCACGGUGGCGCACACCUGUAAUCCCAGCUACUCAUGAUGAGGCUGAGGCACAAGAAUCGCUUGAACCCGAGAGGCGGAAGUUGCAGUGAGCGGAGAUGGAGCCACUGUGUGUUAGGCUCUGGCGACGUGGGGAGAAAUAAAGAUAAUGUCUUGUUUCCCAGGGCAUUAAUAGCGUGAUGGGGAAGACAGGCCAUCAACAAUGUGCAACACUAAGGGCUAGGAAAGAGGUGGAUACAAAGGAGGGAAUAAGGAAUGUGGUCAUUCCUUAAGGUGUUUAUUGGUGCCAGGUACUGUUCAAGGCACCAAAAAGAAUGGAACCAAACAGAGAUCCUGCUCCCAAAGAGCUCAUAGUGGAAGGACAGCCAGACAAGCUUAGAAUUACGGGACAGGCCUAAGAAGGAGCCAGACUGGGGACCAGAGGCGUCCGAAGGGAAGUCCAGGAAGUACCGCAGGAAAACGUGAUAUAUAUUAAAUCUUAAAGAAUGGGCAGGAUUUUGCCAGGCUUAGUGACAAGAUAUCUUCCGUAAAAUCGUGGAACUGAAAAGAAAGGAUAUAGGUUGAAGAAGGGCUAGUUCUGUGUCUGAAAUAGAAGGAACAUGAAAGAGAAGUGCUGGGACAUGGGGCAAAAAAGGGAGUUUGGGGCCAGAUCGUGAAAGCCUUGGUUUAACAGGUGAAAAGUUCAAAUUUGAUCCAGGUAGCUGGCAGAGUCAGAGGUUCUAAAGCAGAGACCUGCUCUAUAGAAAGCUCACCAUGAAGUACAGCAGUGAUGGUGGAUGAAGAUACCAACAGCUCAACCUCCUAUGUGCCAGGGAAAUGCUGAGCGCUUAGCACCUGAUAUUUAUCUUAAUUCUCUAAAUGGGCCUAUGGGGUAAGCAUAUUAUUAUCCCAAUUUUAUUGGAAUACUUCCCUGGUAGGGCCCCUAAACAGGUAGCCAUCAAAUGCCUGAUAAAUUCCAGCUAGCUUUAAAUUCUAGUCGCUACAGAGCAGAGCCCUUCCAUCGCACUGAGCUGAAGGAGCCAGAUGGGCAUUACAGACAAGACCCACUCAGUAGGUGAAAUCAACAGAGCCUAAUGACUAUCUAGAUCUGCAAGAUGAAGAAUAGGAAAGAGCUAAAGACAAGAUUAUGAUGAAAAGUUUGAUUUUGAAAUAAUACAUUUUUAAGAGCUGAGAAAAACCGUAUCCAUCAUCCAGAACAACCGCCUAUUCUACCCACACUCCCAGCACCACAUCAGUACACGUGUGCCUGUACUCACCAUUCUGCCUUGCCUCCUGCUGGCAUGGACGAGUGCUGCGUGUUCCUAAGUGCCACCUUCCGCUGUGCACUCGAUCCCAUCCUCGCGCCCAC